rnacentral:rRNA from 1 species
AGAGUUUGAUCCUGGCUCAGAACGAACGCUGGCGGCAUGCCUAACACAUGCAAGUCGAACGAUCCUUUCGGGAUAGUGGCGGACGGGUGAGUAACGCGUAGGUAUCUGCCCUGGAGUGGGGAACAACAGCUGGAAACGGCUGCUAAUACCGCAUACGCCCGGUAACGGGGAAAGCUUUAUGCGCUCUAGGAGGAACCUGCGUCCGAUUAGCUAGUUGGAGGGGUAACGGCCCACCAAGGCGACUAUCGGUAGCUGGUCUGGGAGGAUGAUCAGCCACACUGGGACUGAGACACGGCCCAGACUCCUACGGGAGGCAGCAGUGGGGAAUAUUGGACAAUGGGGGCAACCCUGGUCCAGCAAUGCCGCGUGCGUGAAGAAGGCCUUAGGGUUGUAAAGCGCUUUCGCCCGCGACGAUGAUGACGGUAGCGGGAGAAGAAGCCCCGGCUAACUCCGUGCCAGCAGCCGCGGUAAUACGGAGGGGGCGAGCGUUGUUCGGAAUUACUGGGCGUAAAGGGCGCGUAGGCGGCCUUGUCAGUCAGGCGUGAAAGCCCCGGGCUCAACCUGGGAUGUGCGCUUGAUACUGCAAGGCUUGAGACCGGAAGAGGAUGGCGGAAUACCCAGUGUAGAGGUGAAAUUCGUAGAUAUUGGGUGGAACACCAGUGGCGAAGGCGGCCAUCUGGUCCGGAUCUGACGCUGAGGCGCGAAAGCGUGGGGAGCAAAUAGGAUUAGAUACCCUGGUAGUCCACGCCGUAAACGAUGUGCGCUAGACGUCGGGAGUUAGGCUCUCGGUGUCGCAGCUAACGCAUUAAGCGCACCGCCUGGGGAGUACGGCCGCAAGGUUAAAACUCAAAGGAAUUGACGG